rnacentral:rRNA from 1 species
UGACCACAAUUUAACGGCCGCGGUACCCUAACCGUGCGAAGGUAGCAUAAUCACUUGUUUCCUAAAUAGAGACUAGUAUCAACGGCAUCACGAAGACUACACUGUCUCCCCCCUAAAAUCAAUGAAACUAAUCUCCUCGUGAAGAAGCGAGGAUGAACAUAUAAGACGAGAAGACCCCAUGGAGCUUUAAACAAACUUCAAUUGCUUUCCCCCCCCCCC